GUGGGAUAUUCGGUCCGAUUAUUCAGUGCGACACGUGUCCUAUGAGGUACGCGGUUUCAAAAUUCUUAUGGACAAUCAAAUUUUAAAAGACAUCCAAACAAUGACGAUAAGUGACGUUAAGAGAAUGACAAUAUUGUCUGAAUGAAGACCAAAAGAAAAUACCAGCUAGAUAAAAAAUAAUAUUGAGUAAUCGGCGAUUUUCUAGACGCAAAAAAAAAAAUACGUUUAUGAUUUUUUCGUUACAGCCCCGUCGUAAAACUUACUAUAGCACUGUUAACAGUGUAUCGUAAGCACGUGUAGAUUUCCAUACGAAACGUGUGCCAUUGGUGUAAUUAUUUACUCUGAUAAUUCGCAAACUCAUUUGGAAGCCGUAAUGAGUACAGUAUUAAGGGGUGAUUGCGUAUUAUUUAGUAGAUUCAGACCUCAAUGCCGAACACAGCCGUAGAAACAAUGACGGAAUUUAAUUACGAAAACGGAAUAUGAUUGUUUAGGUUCGUUACUAGGCUAUGCUAGUAGUGGAAAUUCAAUUAUUUUACCGGAAAUGUAAUAAAUAAAUAGUUACACGUCUUAUAGUUUCUAGGACGGUCGUUGCAAUGUAAAAAAAAAAAACUUGUCAAAUUUUACAAAACCGCAGAAAAAUAGUGAAACCGUCACCAAUCUCCAGCCCUCGAUAUAAAUCUAUUAUUUAUCGUUAUAAAAAAUAUUUUAUUAAUACUACGAUAGUAAAUGAAUUCUUCUCAUAUGUUCAUCCCUAUGAAUAUAUGCACGAACAAAAGGAUCCAAGCGACACAUUAUAAUGAACUCAGAAACCCCUAGACGCGUAAAUGCCCGAUUGAAAUUAUCGAAUAAAAUUCCAAAUAUGAAACAAACAAGCAGUUUUUUUUUUAUAAGACAUGUAUACAUGAAUAUUCUUGCGGCGCGUCUAAUAUUAAAUCCGGAUAACAAACAUCGCAACACUGACCACGAAUACCGACAAACUAAUUUUACAUUAUAAUGUACGGAUGACGUCACGAGGCGUAAAUUAAAAAAAAAAAAAAAAAAAAAUGUUUACACCGCUCUCGUAUUGUUAUACUAUUAUUGUCGUAAGAACAAAAAAUACUCUUCUAUCGUGUGGCGAUUAUUCUCGAAAGAUUUCCCGGGGCCCGUGAGAUUUAUUUUCAGUUAACGGUCCGCGGCACGUUUUCGUUUUUCGCAUACUUAUUUUUAAGGAUCUCGGACGGUUUUUUGCGAUUAUCUGCGCGUUAACCACCGUGAUGUAUAAUGGGCUCUCCCAACGGGUCUUUACCCGUUGAAAAUUCACGAGUCGAUACAAAAAUAUUAACAAUAUUACCCAUACACAGUAUCGCGUUCGGUCGGCGUAAAAUAACAUCGUGUAAUAGAAUGCAAUACAAUUCAUACAUUGUGUAAUCGGUAGAAAUUUGUAAAAAAUAAAAAAUUAGGGCGGACAUACUUCGCACGUGGGUGCAGCCACUGUUGUAGGUGGGGAGUUGGGAAGGUGCCUACGGACGGGAAUUUAAUGUAUAUCUGUAAGCAACGAUAAAGCAUUGCUAACGAAAAAACGGUACUGAGUCGAGUUCAGUUCGUAAUGUUGCUUUGUCGACAAUACAAUGUAUACUAUUAUGUCAUAUUAUGGUAAAAUGAUUACAAUAAUGUGCGUUUCCAUUACAACAAUGGUUAUUUAAAAAAGAUUUUAAUAAUAAAAACUUAACAAUAACAGAAAAAAAAAUAAAAACCGUUGCCUAUGACAACUUUGUUUUUAAUCUUUCAAUCUUUCUUAACCUAAAGACCAAGAUUUUCCUCAUCAACUCGAAAAUUAAUGAGAAUUUCAAAAAAUGACCUUUUCAAAGGAACGCCCAGAGAAAGUUUCCUUUCGGAAAAGGUGCUAUACUCGAUAAUCGGAGUAUAGUAGAAAAAGUGUUCGCAUAAAAAUAAAAUAAAAAAUAAACAUCAUUGUAAAGCCCAUACAUUCCUCGUUUCACCUCAGAGCCUAAAACAAUUGUUUAAAACACGUUUUUUUUUUUAUAUAUAAAUAUAAUUUCGUCAUAACUAAUUAAGAAC
rnacentral:lncRNA from 1 species